rnacentral:rRNA from 1 species
GAUGAACGCUGGCGGCGUGCUUAACACAUGCAAGUCGAACGGAAACAGGAUGAAGCCUAGCGAUUCCUGUUUUAGUGGCGGACGGGUGAGUAACGCGUGGGUAACCUGCCUUACACUGGGGGAUAACAGUUAGAAAUAGCUGCUAAUACCGCAUAAGCGCACAGGGCCGCAUGGCCUGGUGUGAGAAACUCCGGUGGUGUAAGAUGGACCCGCGUCUGAUUAGCUAGUUGGUGAGGUAACGGCCCACCAAGGCGACGAUCAGUAGCCGGCGUGAGAGGGUGAACGGCCACAUUGGGACUGAGACACGGCCCAAACUCCUACGGGAGGCAGCAGUGGGGAAUAUUGCACAAUGGGGGAAACCCUGAUGCAGCGACGCCGCGUGAGUGAAGAAGUAUUUCGGUAUGUAAAGCUCUAUCAGCAAGGAAGAAAAUGACGGUACUUGACUAAGAAGCCCCGGCUAACCACGUGCCAGCAGCCGCCGUAA